UACGUAGGGUGCAGGCGUUAAUCGGAAUUACUGGGCGUAAAGCGUGCGCAGGCGGCUUCUUAAGUCAGAUGUGAAAUCCCCGGGCUUAACCUGGGAACUGCGUUUGAAACUGGGAGGCUAGAGUGCGGCAGAGGGGGGUGGAAUUCCACGUGUAGCAGUGAAAUGCGUAGAUAUGUGGAGGAACACCGAUGGCGAAGGCAGCCCCCUGGGCCUGCACUGACGCUCAUGCACGAAAGCGUGGGGAGCAAAC
rnacentral:rRNA from 1 species